rnacentral:rRNA from 1 species
GCAGAGUAUACCUCUCGUACCUUUUGCAUCAUGAUUCAGCAAGCAAAACACAUGCAAAGAGAUCUCUAGUUUGUAACCCCGAAACCUGACGAGCUACUCCGAGACAGCUUAUCAAGAGCCAACCCGUCUCUGUGGCAAAAGAGUGGGAAGAUCCCCGAGUAGAGGUAAAAGACCUACCGAGCCAGGUUAUAGCUGGUUGCCCAAGAAAUGAAUAAAAGUUCAGCCCCGCAUGGCCCGACUCAUAGCAGUAAAACUACAAAAGACAAAGAGCCACCCUGACGGGAGUUAAUCAGAGGAGGUACAGCUCCCCUGAUAAAGAAUACAAUCUUACAAAGGUGAUUAAAGAAUAUAAUAAGACAAGGCCGCAGGUCUCAGUGGGCCUGAAAGCAGCCACCCGAUCAGAAAGCGUUAAAGCUCAGACCAAACCAAGCCCAUCAUCACAUUUAUUAUGCUAAAAUCCCCAACCCUACUGGGCCCUUCUAUACCCAUAUAGAAGAGAUGAUGCUGAAACGAGUAACAAGAAGAUUGAACUUCUCCUAGCACUAGUGUAAGCCGGAUUAGACAAACUACCGAUAAUUAACGAACCCAAGAAAAGAGGACCCUACACUGACGCCCUCCGGGCCGAGAAAAGCGUGUUUCCUAUUAAUCGUUAACCCCACACAGGAGUGCUUAAGCCAAGGAAAGACUAAAAGAAAAAAAAGGAACUCGGCAAACCUAAACCCCGCCUGUUUACCAAAAACAUCGCCUCUUGCCCAUCACUGUAUAAGAG